AUUGAACGCUGGCGGCAUGCCUUACACAUGCAAGUCGAACGGCAGCACGGGGGCAACCCUGGUGGCGAGUGGCGAACGGGUGAGUAACGCAUCGGAACGUGCCCAGUAGUGGGGGAUAACCAGUCGAAAGACUGGCUAAUACCGCAUACGACCCAAGGGUGAAAGCGGGGGACCGUAAGGCCUCGCGCUAUUGGAGCGGCCGAUGUCUGAUUAGCUAGUUGGCGGGGUAAGAGCCCACCAAGGCGACGAUCAGUAGCUGGUCUGUGAGGACGAGCAGCCACAGUGUGACUGGGACAGGGACCAGGCGCCUACGGGAGGGAGCAGUGGGGAAUGUUGGAAACUGGGCGCAAGCCUGAUCCAGCCAUGCCGCGUGCGUGAAGAAGGCCUUCGGGUUGUAAACCGCUUUUGGCAGGAACGAAACGGUGCAAGCCAAUACCUUGCGCUAAUGACGGUACCUGCAGAAUAAGCACCGGCUAACUACGUGCCAGCCGCCGCGGGAAAAC
rnacentral:rRNA from 1 species